CAGCCGCGUAAUUCCAGCUCCAAUAGCGUAUAUUAAAGUUGUAGCAGUUAAAAAGCUCGUAGUUGAAUUUCGGGAUUGACACAUCGGUCGUGCCUUAAGGGGUAUGAACUGGUGUAGUCAAUUUCUCACCUUCUGGAGAACCGCGAUGCCCUUAAUUGGGUGUCACGGGGAACCAGGACCUUUACUUUGAAAAAAUUAGAGUGUUUAAAGCAGGCAUUUUGCUUGAAUACAUUAGCAUGGAAUAAUAAAAUAGGACGGCAUGAUUCUAUUUUGUUGGUUUCUAGGAUCACCGUAAUGAUUAAUAGGGAUAGUUGGGGGGAUUAGUAUUCAAUUGUCAGAGGUGAAAUUCUUGGAUUUAUUGAAGACUAACUACUGCGAAAGCAUUUGCCAAGGAUGUUUUCAUUAAUCAAGAACGAAAGUUAGGGGAUCGAAGACGAUCAGAUACCGUCGUAGUCUUAACCAUAAACUAUGCCGACUAGGAAUCAGACGAUGUUAAUUUUUUAAUGACUCGUUUGGCACCUUACG
rnacentral:misc_RNA from 1 species